AUUGAACGCUGGCGGCAGGCCUAACACAUGCAAGUCGAACGGUAACAGAAAGCAGCUUGCUGCUUUGCUGACGAGUGGCGGACGGGUGAGUAAUGUCUGGGAAACUGCCCGAUGGAGGGGGAUAACUACUGGAAACGGUAGCUAAUACCGCAUAACGUCGCAAGACCAAAGAGGGGGACCUUCGGGCCUCUUGCCAUCGGAUGUGCCCAGAUGGGAUUAGCUAGUAGGUGGGGUAACGGCUCACCUAGGCGACGAUCCCUAGCUGGUCUGAGAGGAUGACCAGCCACACUGGAACUGAGACACGGUCCAGACUCCUACGGGAGGCAGCAGUGGGGAAUAUUGCACAAUGGGCGCAAGCCUGAUGCAGCCAUGCCGCGUGUAUGAAGAAGGCCUUCGGGUUGUAAAGUACUUUCAGCGGGGAGGAAGGGAGUAAAGUUAAUACCUUUGCUCAUUGACGUUACCCGCAGAAGAAGCACCGGCUAACUCCGUGCCAGCAGCCGCGGUAAUACGGAGGGUGCAAGCGUUAAUCGGAAUUACUGGGCGUAAAGCGCACGCAGGCGGUUUGUUAAGUCAGAUGUGAAAUCCCCGGGCUCAACCUGGGAACUGCAUCUGAUACUGGCAAGCUUGAGUCUCGUAGAGGGGGGUAGAAUUCCAGGUGUAGCGGUGAAAUGCGUAGAGAUCUGGAGGAAUACCGGUGGCGAAGGCGGCCCCCCUGGACGAAGACUGACGCUCGUGCGAAAGCGUGGGGAGCAAACG
rnacentral:rRNA from 1 species